GAAGACCUGUCCUUAGUACGAGAGGACCGGGAUGGACGUACCUCUGGUGUACCAGUUGUUCUGCCAAGGGCAUGGCUGGGUAGCUAUGUACGGAAUGGAUAAGCGCUGAAAGCAUCUAAGCGCGAAGCCAACUUCAAGAUAAGAUUUCCCACCGCAAGGGGAAGACCCCAGAAAGACUAUCUGGUUGAUAGGUCGAAGGUGUAAGUGCAGCAAUGUAUUUAGCUUAUCGAUACUAAUAGGUCGAGGACUUGACCAAU
rnacentral:rRNA from 1 species